rnacentral:tRNA from 1 species
GGCAGUAGCACAGUGGUGUGCUCCUAUGUGGUGAUACAGGGGGUCUUGGGUUCGAAUCCCCCCAAGCCU